rnacentral:rRNA from 1 species
UACGGAGGGUGCAAGCGUUAUCCGGAAUCACUGGGUUUAAAGGGUGCGUAGGCGGAUAAAUAAGUCAGAGGUGAAAGCUUUCCGCUUAACGGGAAAAUUGCCUUUGAAACUGUUUAUCUUGAAUUAUGUUGAGGUUAGCGGAAUGUGACAUGUAGCGGUGAAAUGCAUAGAUAUGUCAUAGAACACCAAUUGCGAAGGCAGCUAGCUAGGCAUAUAUUGACGCUGAGGCACGAAAGCGUGGGGAGCGAACAGG